CGUUUAGGGGUAAACCUGAGAAACCCGAAAGGUCGAAGGGAGAAAUUCAUUCGCGUCUCGCAGUCGGAGACGGGAAUUCGAGUGACGGCAGACGUCCGCGUCUGCCGCGCCUUAAUUCCGUCGAACCGGCGACGAACGCGUGCACUUUUCUCCUGGUAGGACGUCGCGAUCCGUUGGGUGUCGGUCUACGGCCCGUGGUGGAGCCCAUUCGACUCGUUUCGGAUGGACCCUCGGUGUCCCGGCCGACUCGCUCGACGGUAAACGAACGGUUCGAGGUCGCUCUUUCGAAGAGCGUCCGACCGGUGACAAGUGCGCCGGAUGUGUCGACGAUCGGACCUGGUGCCGAUCGCGACCUCCGGUGGCUGCUGGUCAUCGAGUUCACGGACAGAUCGAAACCGAUCUGCGACGCUAUAGCUUUGGGUACUUUCAGGACCCGUCUUGAAACACGGACCAAGGAGUCUAGCAUGUGCGCGAGUCAUUGGGAAUCACUAAACCUAAAGGCGCAAUGAAAGUGAAGGUCCUCCUUGCGAGGACCGAGGGAGGACGUGCGGUGCGACUUAAAAAGGAACCGCUCAGCACUCCCGGGGCGUCUCGUUCUCAUCGCGAGAAGAGGCGCACCAAGAGCGUACACGCUGGGACCCGAAAGAUGGUGAACUAU
rnacentral:rRNA from 1 species